AAAAAACUAUUUUCUUUCAUUACCACUCUGAAACAAUUGCAAUUGGUUGUUUCACCUGGUUGCUUUCAUCAUGAUUGGCUAAUCUGACUGUCAUCCACGAAACUGGCCAAUGACAAAAGUGCGCGCCUUCUUACUAGUCAGGUUUGAAAAUAUACGUCAGUUUGGUGGUGUGUUUGCUACUGAUCCGCGAGAUAACUCGGUCACUCAGUUCCUGAUUAUGUGCCUGUUAAAUUCUUAUUUUAAACUAAUAUGAGCUGUGACAUGUCAACGGAGAACAGAAGCUGGAGUGUGAACACAGAGACUGCGUGUGAGGUCCUGCAAACAUAUGGCAAUAUCAGAUCAAGCACACGUUUUUCAGGGAAAACAGGCACCCAACACAGAGACUACAGUGGCACAAAAAAAGGGGAAUAGAACUUGUCACCAUCAUCAGUCCUUUAUUUAAUUCACUGGAGAACAUCACAACCUUCAGAUGUGUCAUAUCAGGAUAAAUGCUGCUGCAGGGAAAAUUAUAUGAA